AGUUUGGGUAGAGAUGUAGCAUCAAACAUUCACGGAUGUCCAGGGAGCACGGGCACACAGGCUGCUGGCCAGAGGUACUAGGAAGGUACAGGCGGGAGUUCGACGAGGACGCACCUUCCCCUGUCUUGGAAAGGGGAAAUGCAGCACACACAUCUACUCACCCCACAUAGGAAGCUGGUAACAGACCAAAUUACAGAUACCACCGAAGUCCAACUUGGAGGCUGCUCACAGCGCUGCUGGACUCUUUAAGCCCUGAGGUCAUGUGAAAAGAAGUUUGCCCUGUGUCCUUCUGUCUCCUGUUGGCUGUCCACAAAAUGGAGAAGGCGGAAGCAACCUGAGGCGUCCUCUUUGUCUGUAAAGAUAGAGAGUCCAUUGUGGAAGGGGGAGAUACAGGAACUAUAUAGGCGAGGCUCUACCGGACUGCAUCUCUUAUCUCCAGAAUUCUUUUACAGAAAAGAAAAAAAUAAACUUUUAUCUGGCUUAAGCCA
rnacentral:lncRNA from 1 species